GAUGAACGCUGGCGGCGUGCCUAAUACAUGCAAGUCGAGCGAACAGACGAGGAGCUUGCUCCUUCGACGUUAGCGGCGGACGGGUGAGUAACACGUAGGUAACCUACCUAUAAGACUGGGAUAACUUCGGGAAACCGGAGCUAAUACCGGAUAAUAUUUCGAACCGCAUGGUUCGAUAGUGAAAGAUGGCUUUGCUAUCACUUCUAGAUGGACCUGCGCCGUAUUAGCUAGUUGGUAAGGUAACGGCUUACCAGGGCAACGAUACGUAGCCGACCUGAGAGGGUGAUCGGCCACACUGGAACUGAGACACGGUCCAGACUCCUACGGGAGGCAGCAGUAGGGAAUCUUCCGCAAUGGGCGAAAGCCUGACGGAGCAACGCCGCGUGAGUGAUGAAGGUCUUCGGAUCGUAAAACUCUGUUAUUAGGGAAGAACAAACGUGUAAGUAACUGUGCACGUCUUGACGGUACCUAAUCAGAAAGCCACGGCUAACUACGUG
rnacentral:rRNA from 1 species